CUGGUUGGCUGAGCUUCCUACCCAAGACUGUGAACAGGGCUGGGUCUAAAAGUACAGGCAGUAAAGGGCAGUACCGCUGUUUGUCCAGUAGACCAAGCAGGAGGACAGCACUGAUAUCAUGGAUGUAUUUUUGGUUGAACUGUUCACAGAGUGCCUGUGUGGGUUUGAAGAUUAAAGCUCCAUGAUGGAUCCUCAUAGUUCCAGCAGUGGAGGAGGAACCUCUGACCCAAAGGUAAAGCGUGCAGGAUCUCCAGAACCCAGCAGUUCGUCCGUGAAGAGGCGUUGGUCAAUGUCUGAGCCGGACAGCUUCAGCAGUGACGGAGGAGCCUCUGACCCAGGAUUGCAGACUGAGAGAGCAGGUUCUCCAAUGUCCAGUUCUGUGUCUAUGAAGAGUGACCAGUCCAUGGAGGUCCUGUUUUAGUUCAGCAGAGGGGCAGAAGAACCCAGCUCUGUGUCUAUGAAGAGUGACCAGUCCAUGGGGGUCCCGUUUCAGUUCUGCAGAGGGGCAGAAGAGCCCAGCUCUGUGUCUAUGAAGAGUGACCAGUCCAUGGGGGUCCCGUUUCAGUUCAGCAGAGGGGCAGAAGAGCCCAGCUCUGUGUCUAUGAAGAGUGACCAGUCCAUGGAGAUCCCAUUUAAGUUCAGCAGAAGAGCGCAGCUCUGUGUCUAUGAAGAGUGACCAGUCCAUGGGGGUCCCGUUUCAGUUCAGCAGUUCACCAGAUUCCACAGAAGCUGCACUGCAGACUCUUACACAUACACUGAGUACAGGGACUGGAGAGCUGCAGCAGGAUUCUUACCAACCAGUGGGUGAUGUCCUGCAGACAGUCUUAGAAAAAA